AGGAGCUUAGGAUAGCAUAAGACCAAGAGCCUUCAAAGCUCUAAGCAGAAGUGAAAAUCUUCUAGCCCCU
rnacentral:tRNA from 1 species